rnacentral:rRNA from 1 species
GAUGAACGCUGGCGGCGUGCCUAAUACAUGCAAGUCGAGCGAACAGACGAGGAGCUUGCUCCUCUGACGUUAGCGGCGGACGGGUGAGUAACACGUGGAUAACCUACCUAUAAGACUGGGAUAACUUCGGGAAACCGGAGCUAAUACCGGAUAAUAUAUUGAACCGCAUGGUUCAAUAGUGAAAGACGGUUUUGCUGUCACUUAUAGAUGGAUCCGCGCCGCAUUAUCUAGUUGGUAAGGUAACGGCUUACCAAGGCAACGAUGCGUAGCCGACCUGAGAGGGUGAUCGGCCACACUGGAACUGCGACACGGUCCAGACUCCUACGGGAGGCAGCAGUAGGGAAUCUUCCGCAAUGGGCGAAAGCCUGACGGAGCAACGCCGCGUGAGUGAUGAAGGUCUUCGGAUCUUAAAACUCUGUUAUUAGGGAAGAACAAAUGUGUAAGUAACUAUGCACGUCUUGACGGUACCUAAUCAGAAAGCCACGGCUAACUACGUG